rnacentral:rRNA from 1 species
AACGAACGCUGGCGGCAUGCCUAACACAUGCAAGUCGAACGAGACCUUCGGGUCUAGUGGCGCACGGGUGCGUAACGCGUGGGAACCUGCCUUUAGGUUCGGAAUAACUCAGAGAAAUUUGAGCUAAUACCGGAUGAUGUCUUCGGACCAAAGAUUUAUCGCCUUUAGAUGGGCCCGCGUUGGAUUAGCUAGUUGGUGGGGUAAAGGCCUACCAAGGCGACGAUCCAUAGCUGGUCUGAGAGGAUGAUCAGCCACACUGGGACUGAGACACGGCCCAGACUCCUACGGGAGGCAGCAGUGGGGAAUAUUGGACAAGGGGCGAAAGCCUGAUCCAGCAAUGCCGCGUGAGUGAUGAAGGCCUUAGGGUUGUAAAGCUCUUUUAGCCGAGAUGAUAAUGACAGUAUCGGGAGAAUAAGCUCCGGCUAACUCCGUG